rnacentral:rRNA from 1 species
CAUGCCUGUUUGAGUAUCAUGAACACCUCAACUCUCAUGGUUUGCCAUGAUGAGCUUGGACUCUGGGGGUUUUGCUGGCCUCCGGUCGGCUCCUCUCAAAUCGAUCAGCUUGCCGGUAUCUGGUGGCAUCAUGGGUGUGAUAACUAUCUACGCUCAUGGCCGUCUGCCAGGGGUAACCUUCAGCGAUGGAGGUUUGCCGGGGCUCACAAAUGUCUCUCUUUUGCGGGGACAGCUUUUUGAAGUUCGAUCUCAAAUCAGGUAGGACUACCCGCUGAACUUAAGCAUAUCAAUAAGCGGAGG